AACAAACUCAUCUACAUCUCGGACGGCCUGAGGACGAGAUGGAGCGGAAGGUUCAAUGAGGAGACAUUUGUUUACCGGCUUCCUUCCGGAAAGCUCGUACAAAUGCAGCAUUGUAUCUUUGUUUGAAACGUGAGGAAAUGAUGACAGAAGCAUGGAUGCAGGGAUUUUGCUCCGAUUAAGACAUGAGAGCAUAACUAAGAUUCCAGUUCUUCCCAAAAGUGUCCGUGUCUGGGUUUUGUAUCUCAGGUAUUCUGAUUUCUUUGAGCCCUUCCUCUGCCUUUGAGGCACCUUGGCCACAGACGGGUUCAUGUCCACAAGAUGGGGAUAUUGACCAAAAUACAGGCUGAUUUUUAGUGUUCUGACUUGAUGGAAAAUGAUAUGCCUUCAGGUCCUUUUGGGAAGUUCUUCCCUACAUGUUUGAAAGUCACAAUUACAAAACCAUGUUCCUCUCGAUUGCCGUAAAAUACAUUUUUAACCUUAAGUCUCAACAAAGACAAAAAGCUUUUUUAAUAAAACAAUUAAUAAAAAAAUGAAGAGAGAAUAAUGGGAAAUUUAAUCUUGUCAUGCAAGCUGUUCAUGAGUAUUUUCUGGCAAGCUUUAUGAUAUCCUUCAUCAAAAAGAAAAAAAGAAAAAUGCAUGCAUGCACACGCGAGUAAAUCAUCACAAUGAGUAUAUUUGUUAAUAUGACUGAAAAAGAUAAUAUUGAGACUUAUUAUGAAUUGUGACUUGUCACAACACAUAUUGUUGCUCUUAUGUUGUUUUGAUUUCUUCUAUUAACCUCAUUUGUACGUCUA